rnacentral:lncRNA from 1 species
AAAAAAAAAGAUAGUUUUUUUAAUUGAAUCACCUAUAUUUGGGUGUUGUUGAACUUCUGCUCUAUUAAACUUAGUGGAAGAAGAAGGAAAAACACACAGAAAGAGCAAAUCAGCAAAUGCUUCCAGCUAAUUAACAACCAAAACACUUAAUACAACCUCUCUAAUUUUUUGUAUGAAUCAUUACAUACACCAAGAGAUUCACAUGUAGAUUUUGAGCAGAUACUAUAUGGACAUAUGAUCGUAACUGUAAGAAUUUCAAGAAUUGAUCAAUCAUGAAGAAGUAGAAAC